rnacentral:tRNA from 1 species
UUAUCAGUGAACUAAGGUUAAGUUUUAGGAUUCAUAAUCCUGCCAUGGGGUCUCCCCUGAUAAG